GACGAACGCUGGCGGCGUGCUUAACACAUGCAAGGCGAACGGAAAGACCCUGCUUUUGUGGGGUGCUCGAGUGGCGAACGGGUGAGUAACACGUGAGUAACCUGCCCUUGACUUUGGGAUAACUUCAGGAAACUGGGGCUAUUACCGGAUAGGAGCUCCUGCUGCAUGGUGGGGGUUGGAAAGUUUCGGCGGUUGGGGAUGGACUCGCGGCUUAUCAGCUUGUUGGUGGGGUAGUGGCUUACCAAGGCUUUGACGGGUAGCCGGCCUGAGAGGGUGACCGGCCACAUUGGGACUGAGAUACGGCCCAGAAUCCUACGGGAGGCAGCAGUGGGGAAUAUUGCACAAUGGGCGGAAGCCUGAUGCAGCAACGCCGCGUGCGGGAUGACGGCCUUCGGGUUGUAAACCGCUUUCGCCUGUGACGAAGCGUGAGUGACGGUAAUGGGUAAAGAAGCACCGGCUAACUACGUG
rnacentral:rRNA from 1 species